CGGGGCGUAGCGCAGCUGGCUAGCGCGCACGGUUUGGGUCCGUGAGGUCCCCGGUUCAAAUCCGGGCGCCCCGA
rnacentral:tRNA from 1 species